UCCUUUCCAGGUGAAGGGUGACCCGGCUGAAGAAACACUUAAAUUCUGGAAAUAGCAACUGAGUAUCAUGGCCAGCAGCCUUAAUGAAGAUCCAGAAGGAAGCAGAAUCACUUAUGUGAAAGGAGACCUUUUUGCAUGCCCCAAAACAGACUCUUUAGCCCACUGUAUUAGUGAGGAUUGUCGCAUGGGCGCUGGGAUAGCUGUUCUCUUCAAGAAGAAAUUUGGAGGGGUGCAAGAACUGUUAAAUCAGCAAAAGAAAUCUGGAGAAGUGGCUGUUCUGAAGAGAGAUGGGUGAUAUAUAUAUAUUACUUGAUUACAAAGAAAGGGGCUUCGCACAAGCCAACUUAUGAAAACUUGCGAAAGAGCUUAGAGGCCAUGAAGUCUCAUUGUCUGAAGAACGGAGUCACGGACCUCUCCAUGCCCAGGGUUGGAUGUGGUCUUGAUUGUCUGCAAGGGGAAAAUGUAUCUGGGAUGAUCGGGGAGGUAUUUGAGGCAAUAGACAUCAGAAUCGCCGUGUAUACACUCUGAACAGAUCAACAUUUUGGAUGUGUCCGUGUUCUCCUGUAUCAUACCUUCUGGGCCAUAGGACUGGGCAAACUGACCUUAUAAUAGGCAGAGGAAAGUUUCCUGUGAAAUAGUCUGUGUCACAGGACAGACUUGGGUUGCUAUAUUCCAGUAUUUGGACUAGGAUUCUGGAGAAAGGAAUGCUUUGGGUAUGUUGUGGUUUUUUUGCAGAAAGAUAAGGAGUAGGUAGCCUGAUAAUAGGCAGGGAAACCAGAUAUUUGGGCCUAUGAUGUCUGUUUUGCUUCAGUAUGCUACCUGAU